CUCACCUCCAUCCCGACGGCUGCGAGGCAGAAAGCGAAAGCGGACGCGGGUGCCUGGGCGAGAUCAACAAGUCGGGGCUGAGCUUCGGCUCCGCGCUCGCUGCUAUUCUGUCCCGCACUUCGGAGCGCCCGGAGCCGGGCACCAAGGCAGGACGGCGCCACCUGCGGGUCGGAAGCGAGCGCGGCUUAACUCCUGCCUGCCCGGCCCA
rnacentral:lncRNA from 1 species